GCCUACGGGGGGCAGCAGUGGGGAAUAUUGCACAAUGGGGGAAACCCUGAUGCAGCGACGCCGCGUGAGUGAAGAAGUAUUUCGGUAUGUAAAGCUCUAUCAGCAGGGAAGAAAAAAGACGGUACCUGACUAAGAAGCCCCGGCUAACUACGUGCCAGCAGCCGCGGUAAUGCGUAGGGGGCAAGCGUUAUCCGGAUUUACUGGGUGUAAAGGGAGCGUAGACGGCUGUACAAGUCUGAAGUGAAAGCCCGUGGCUCAACCGCGGAACUGCUUUGGAAACUGUAAAGCUGGAGUACUGGAGAGGC
rnacentral:rRNA from 1 species